CACACAAUUUCUUCAAUUAUAAAUCUCUUAAAUUGGUAUGAUACAUGCGUUACAAUUGAUGAACCAACAAUGAUACGUUAUGUUUGCUAAGUUCCAUAGUUUGUUCAGAUUUCCUUAGUUUUAGCCUAACAUCCUUUCUUUUUCUGUGCCAGGAACUCAUCUAAGAUUCCACAUCAUAUUUAAUUGUCAUGUCUCCUCAGUCUCCUCCUGGGGUUGUGAUGGUUCUCAGAAUUUCCUUGUUUUUGAUCACCUUGAAAGUUUUGAGGGGUACUGGUCAAGUACUCAGGAUUUGUAUGAUGUUUUUCUUAUGAUUGGACUGGGAUUGUGGAUGUUUGGAGAAAGAUCACAGAGGUGAAGUGCCAUUUUCAUCACAUCAAAUCAAGAAUACAUACCUUCAACAUGACUGAUGCUGACCUUGAUCACCUGGCUCAGGUGAGAACACUGAGUUUCAGAGAGAUUCAGCAACUGACUUAAAUCUACACAGCUAGAUCCUGGCUCUGUUGGAAGGAUUGGAUUGAUGAGGGAGAGCAUUUAUACUCAGCUGGAGAGGAUGGAAACUAUUUCUAGAGGUGGAGAUGGAGAUGCAGACAAGUGAUGGGUUUGAGUAUGAUUUUGAAGGUAGAAUUACCAGAUCCAUUUGAUGUACAGGAUGUAUGUCACUGAGAGGAAAAAAUGCUUUCAAGAUGAUCCUGGUUUUGAAAAGGAGACCAGAGGAAAAAGGGGAUCAGCAGAGGAAGACCAAAUGUUCAUUUUCUUUUAAUGUGGUAUGCCAGAAGGAAACAUUGUCAAUUAUCAGCUGUGUGAUUUUGGGAAUGUUAUAAUUUUAUAGGGAAAAAAUAAGGUUUAGAGGUUAAGAAACAUAAACUCAACAUUUUGAACUUAAAAUCCAUGGAAGUAACAUGCUGUAGUAGA